ensembl:lncRNA
GGAGGUCAGAAGUCGAAAAUCAGGAUGGCAGCAGGGCUGAGCUCCUUCUGAAGGCCUCGGGAAAAUCUGUUUCCUUGCCUUUUUCAGCUUCUAGGAGCCGCCUGCAUUCCUUGGCUUGGGGCCCCUUCCUCACAUCCCUCCAGCCUUCACUUGCAGUGUUACCUCUCCUGCUGGAGCGUCUGGCCUUCCGCUUGUGAUAACACUGGGCCUGUUCUGACAGCACAGGAUACCCUCCCCAUCUCAAGACCCUUAGCUGAGUCGUAGCUGCAAAGGACCAUUCUACCAUGUUAGGUAACAUAUUCACAGGUUCCGGGGAUGAGGAUGUGGAUGUCUUUGUGGGCCACUAUGCAGUCAACCAUAACAGGGGAAGAACAGGGACCUCAGCCUCCCCCAAGAUGGAUACACAGCCCUGCCUUUGUCUCAAGGGGACAUCUCUACUCCAGAGCUCCUCGUGGGAUGGGGCUGAGACUAGACUUCAGCUGGACCCACAUCUUUGCCUGGCUUCUUCCCUUACUUUCUCGUUUCUUUUACCCCUGUAGGUUUCACCCCAGAGCACCCCCUGCAACCAAUAAAUUACUUGCUUAAGACUCCUUGCUUCUGGAUAACCUGUCCUAUGUCACUUCGUAACAUUAUCCUCAUUUCAUAGAUGGGGAAGCCGAGGUGCAGAGAGAAUGACUGUAUCUUGCCCAAGGUUACACAGAGUCAAUGGCAGAGCUGAGACUGAACCCUAGUCUCUCAAUUCUCAGUUCUGGGCUCCCCAUUCCUCCUGUUUGUCUAAGGGCCAGCGAGGGGGUCUGGGGAAGAUCAGAGAGCCAGUCCCCACAUAGCUCGCCCUUCUCAGGGUUGUCAUGGUGCUGCUUAGCUGGCUACCUGCCGGCCAGAGCCCUUUUCUUCCUACCUCUUCUAAGUCCUUUGUUAAGGAAGUGCACUUUGAAGAGCCUUCUGGCUGUUUUGCUUUGAAUUUCCGCAGCAGCUCUUUUGCCCCAAAUCCUGGCAGCUUGGCUUGAGAAUAGACUGUCCAUCCAGUGCCCUGGGAUGGCGUGAGAGGGGACUGCUAGUCCUGGAGCAGGAGGCCGAGACAGAGGCAUACCACCCCAUCCCCUGAACCCCCUUCAGAAGACCCAGGCCACGACACAGCAAUGGUCCGAACUAAGACAACUCAAGUCUUGUGCUGCUGAUUUUCAGUCUCUCCCCACUCCAUCCCUUCCUUUCUCUGUUCUAGGUCCCAGUUGCAUCUGUGGACCAUGGGCUCUCUGCCUUCUGGCCUCUGAUGGCUCUAGUCAAUGGAAGGGCCCAGCAGAAGGAGAGACCAGCGUCUGUUCCUCCCCGAUCCUUGCCCUUUCAAGCCUACGGAUGGUCAGUUUCCCAGUGAGGCUAAACCCCCACUGCCUCUCCAUUUCUUCUCGUGUGUGAUAGGCAGUCAUGGCCCUCAAGUUGUCCAUGUCCUAAUCCCUGGUAUCUGUGAACCUGCCACCUUAUAUAGCAAAGGAGACUUUGCAGAUGUGAUUAAAUUGGCCGGGUGCAGUGGCACACACCUGUAAUCCCAGAACUUUGGCAGGCCGAGGCAGGCGGAUCACUUGAGGUCAGGAGUUUGAGACCAGCCUGCCCAACAUGACAAAACCUCGUCUCUACUAAAAAAUACAAAAAUUAACUGGGCGUGGUGGUGGGCGCCUGUAAUCCCAGCUACUCGGGAGGCUGAGGAGAAUCGUUUGAACCUGGGAGGCGGAGGUUGCAGUGAGCUGAGAUCACGUCACUGCACUCCAGCCUGGGUGACAGAGCAAGACUCCAUCUAAAAAAAAAAAAAGAAAAAAAAA